UUUUUGCAGUGGAGAGAGCCCCGCAGUGACCGAAAGGGAAUCGGGUAAUAUCCCGAUCCGGACACGGAGAUUGGUCUUCGGGGCCCAGUGCGGUAACGCAAUCCAGCUCGGAGACGCCGAUGCGAGCCCCGGGAAGAGUUUUCUUUUCUCUGUAAGGAGAUCGAGUCCCUGGAAUGGGUUCGCCCCGAGAUAGGGAUGGUGGCUCCGUAGAGCAGUGCGGUUCUUGCGCUGUCCGGUGCGCUCGCGUCGGCCCUUGAAAAUCCGAGUGAGGGAGUGUGAUUUUCGUGCCGGACCGUACCCACAUCCGCAGCAGGUCUCCAAGGUGAACAGCCUCUAGUC
rnacentral:ncRNA from 1 species